rnacentral:rRNA from 1 species
GAUGAACGCUGGCGGCGUGCUUAACACAUGCAAGUCGAACGGACUUUACAUGAAGCCUAGCGAUUGUAAAGUUAGUGGCGGACGGGUGAGUAACGCGUGAAUAACCUGCCUUAUACUGGGGGACAACAGUUGGAAACGACUGCUAAUACCGCAUAAGCGCACUAAAGCUGCAUGGCUCAGUGUGAAAAACUCCGGUGGUAUAAGAUGGAUUCGCGUCUGAUUAGCUAGUUGGUGAGGUAACGGCUCACCAAGGCGACGAUCAGUAGCCGGCCUGAGAGGGUGAACGGCCACAUUGGGACUGAGACACGGCCCAAACUCCUACGGGAGGCAGCAGUGGGGAAUAUUGGGCAAUGGGGGAAACCCUGACCCAGCAACGCCGCGUGAAGGAAGAAGGUCUUCGGAUCGUAAACUUCUAUCCUUGGGUGAAGAUAAUGACGGUAGCCGAGAAGGAAGCCCCGGCUAACUACGUG